rnacentral:rRNA from 1 species
GAUGAACGCUGGCGGCGUGCCUAAUACAUGCAAGUCGAGCGAACGGACGAGAAGCUUGCUUCUCUGAUGUUAGCGGCGGACGGGUGAGUAACACGUGGAUAACCUACCUAUAAGACUGGGAUAACUUCGGGAAACCGGAGCUAAUACCGGAUGAUAUUUUGAACCGCAUGGUUCAAAAGUGAAAGACGGUCUUGCUGUCACUUAUAGAUGGAUCCGCGCUGCAUUAGCUAGUUGGUAAGGUAACGGCUUACCAAGGCAACGAUGCAUAGCCGACCUGAGAGGGUGAUCGGCCACACUGGAACUGAGACACGGUCCAGACUCCUACGGGAGGCAGCAGUAGGGAAUCUUCCGCAAUGGGCGAAAGCCUGACGGAGCAACGCCGCGUGAGUGAUGAAGGUCUUCGGAUCGUAAAACUCUGUUAUUAGGGAAGAACAUAUGUGUAAGUAACUGUGCACAUCUUGACGGUACCUAAUCAGAAAGCCCCGGCUAACUACGUG